UGGGGGAUAUUGCACAAUGGGCGAAAGCCUGAUGCAGCGACGCCGCGUGGAGGAUGAAGGCUUUCGGGUUGUAAACCUCUUUCGCUAUCGAACAAGGCCCGCUUAGGGUGGGUUGAGGGUAGGUGGAGAAGAAGCGCCGGCUAACUACGUGCCAGCAGCCGCGGUAAUACGUAGGGCGCGAGCGUUGUCCGGAAUUAUUGGGCGUAAAGGGCUUGUAGGCGGCUUGGUGCGCCUGCUGUGAAAACGCGGGGCUUAACUUCGCGCGUGCAGUGGGUACGGGCAGGCUUGAGUGUGGUAGGGGUGACUGGAAUUCCAGGUGUAGCGGUGGAAUGCGCAGAUAUCUGGAGGAACACCGAUGGCGAAGGCAGGUCACUGGGCCAUUACUGACGCUGAGGAGCGAAAGCAUGGGUAGCGAACAGG
rnacentral:rRNA from 1 species